rnacentral:rRNA from 1 species
GGAAGAGCUCAAAUCUUAUAAUCUGGCACCUCUCACAGGUGUCCGAGUUGUAAUCUCUAGAAGUGUUUUCCGCGUUGGACCGCACACAAGUCUGUUGGAAUACAGCGGCAUAGUGGUGAGACCCCCGUAUAUGGUGCGGACGCCCAACGCUUUGUGAUACACUUUCGAAGAGUCGAGUUGUUUGGGAAUGCAGCUCAAAUUGGGUGGUAAAUUCCAUCUAAAGCUAAAUAUUGGCGAGAGACCGAUAGCGAACAAGUACCGUGAGGGAAAGAUGAAAAGCACUUUGGAAAGAGAGUUAACAGUACGUGAAAUUGUUGGAAGGGAAACGCUUGAAGUCAGACUUGCUUGCCGAGCAAUCGGUUUGCAGGCCAGCAUCAGUUUUCCGGGGUGGAUAAUGGUAGAGAGAAGGUAGCAGUUUCGGCUGUGUUAUAGCUCUCUGCUGGAUACACCUUGGGGGACUGAGGAACGCAGUGUGCCUUACGGCGGAUUUCUCGAGAUCUUCACACUUAGGAUGCUGGUGGAAUGGCUUUAAACGACCCGUCUUGA